AACGAACGCUGGCGGCAGGCCUAACACAUGCAAGUCGAACGCCCCGCAAGGGGAGUGGCAGACGGGUGAGUAACGCGUGGGAACAUACCCUUUCCUGCGGAAUAGCUCUGGGAAACUGGAAUUAAUACCGCAUACGCCCUACGGGGAAAGAUUUAUCGCCGAUAGAUGGGCCCGCGUCGGAUUAGCUAGUUGGUGAGGUAAUGGCUCACCAAGGCUACGAUCCGUAGCUGGUCUGAGAGGAUGAUCAGCCACACUGGGACUGAGGACACGGCCCAGACUCCUACGGGAGGCAGCAGUGGGGAAUAUUGGACAAUGGGCGCAAGCCUGAUCCAGCCAUGCCGCGUGAGUGAAGAAGGCCUUAGGGUUGUAAAGCUCUUUUAGUGGGGACGAUAAUGACGGUACCCACAGAAUAAGCCCCGGCUAACUUCGUGCCAGCCGCCGCAGUAA
rnacentral:rRNA from 1 species